UAGAGAGAGAAAGAGUCAUCGUUGUGGGUUUCCAAAACCUCGUCUACAUUAACAGAUUGGACGAGAAUUUUUUUAGAGUCGAUAGACGACUUUCUUCGUGAAAGCCCUAGCUCCUUGCCCCCGAGCACUGGACAUCGUGAAAGCCUUAGAUAGCUCCUUACCUCCUCCUUAUAGCUUUCUGAAGUCUAAACAAGUGUGACCACUAUAAUUCAGGCUUUGUCCCGGUUUCCUUCGCAUUAGCAAUCAAGAAGGGGAUAAUUCGCAUUUGAUUGGCUAAUAUUCUCUGAAGGAAGGAUAAAUAAUAAGCUGACAAGGAAACGAACGUUUAGUGAAGUGGAAAAAGUGAGUGAACAAAAUACUGAAGCUUCAACUUCAAAAUCAUCCUAACCACCGCCGAAGAAGAGACGAGGCCCAACAUGAUGCAAGAAUGUCGUAAACGCGACAACCUUAUUACCAUUAAGGGUUAAUAAGUUUGGAUAGCCGAUCGGCCCUGGAAGUGGUACAUAUACUAAUUAUUUGGGAACACUUGCCCAAAAUGCUAAUUUAGCUCCUUUGUGCUAUAAAACUCGGUGGCAGAUGCCUAAAUGGCUGAAGGAGGAUAUGUGGAACGUUGUAAAGGGAAAGUAUGAUGUGGGAAUCAUGUCAAAACAUUGGACAAUAUCCUCCAUCGGAAAAAAAAAAUGGAGGGGGUACAAGUGUUAAUUAAAAUGUGAAUAUUACUCGGUUAGGGAUACAAAUGCAGAAAGAUUGGCAAACCCACCACCUGAUGUUGAAAAGGAGCAUUGGGAAUUUUUGGUUAGGCAUUGGGGUACGCCUAUGGCGAAGGAGGUCGGUAAAAAAGACAAAAAACGCCGUGGGAAGCAGAUAAUGAUGCAUACUAUAGGGACAAAAAGCUUUGUAUGUGUUUCUGCCGAGAUUGAGGAAGACGAAGGUAUUCAGCUUUCUCGUGCAGAUUUAUUCAUUUGCACACAUGUAAAUAAGGAUGGCAAAGCUACUGAUGCUGCUGCUUCGGAGAUGAUUAUAAGUUUUCAUGCUUCCAUUUUGCAAAAAGGGGGUCACGUGCCUUUAAGUGACCAAUUUUUAAACUUUUUGCGGUGUAUUAGGGGGUCACAUGCCUUGAAGUGACCAAUUUUUAAAUCAUCGGCCCUUGUGGAGGCAUUUUAAUUUCGUUGUUUAUCAUCAGCCCGUGUGGAGGCAAUUUACUUUCUUGUAUUUGUUGAAAAGCAUGGGAGUAUGGGAUCAUUGUAUGUGGAGGCUUCUUGUUGAUUGAUUUGUGUUGUGGAGAAGUAUUUGCUAUUUGUUGUUUGUGUCAAUGUGUCAUUUAAUUUCCAUUAACACUUGUACUCUAUUUGUUCUCUCAUCUUUUCUAUGUUUCUAAGUUUUAUUGCUUCAUCCUUGUUCUACACCUAGUAAUUCUUGGGAAAUUAUGGACACAAUGUGCCCAGAAUUUUGAUCUCACAUAAAAAUGAUCGCAUCUCAUAUGUUACUUAGGUUACACUAACACAUAAACUGUAUAAGUUUUAGGUCUUAUAGUCAUAGAUAAGGAGUAAAAAAUAG